UAAGUAGAAGCCAACAGGGCAUUUAUCUGUUACAUAAACCAUUGCUAUUAAUUAGCCUACUUAG
rnacentral:tRNA from 1 species